GACGAACGCUGGCGGCGUGCCUAAUACAUGCAAGUUGAGCGCUGAAGGUUGGUACUUGUACCGACUGGAUGAGCAGCGAACGGGUGAGUAACGCGUGGGGAAUCUGCCUUUGAGCGGGGGACAACAUUUGGAAACGAAUGCUAAUACCGCAUAAAAACUUUAAACACAAGUUUUAAGUUUGAAAGAUGCAAUUGCAUCACUCAAAGAUGAUCCCGCGUUGUAUUAGCUAGUUGGUGAGGUAAAGGCUCACCAAGGCGAUGAUACAUAGCCGACCUGAGAGGGUGAUCGGCCACAUUGGGACUGAGACACGGCCCAAACUCCUACGGGAGGCAGCAGUAGGGAAUCUUCGGCCAUGGACGAAAGUCUGACCGAGCAACGCCGCGUGAGUGAAGAAGGUUUUCGGAUCGUAAAACUCUGUUGGUAGAGAAGAACGUUGGUGAGAGUGGAAAGCUCAUCAAGUGACGGUAACUACCCAGAAAGGGACGGCUAACUACGUG
rnacentral:rRNA from 1 species